UUUGAGUUUUUGUAAAAAUAUGCCGUCUUUUUAGAUUUUGCAGAUUCGGGCCCGAAUUUUUAGAAAACUAAGCAAAAUACCCUUAUUCCCUUUUCUCUGUCAUUUUUUUUCUUUCAACUCUGUCCCACGCGACCUCAACCUCACCCUCGCCCGCGCACCCUCGAUUCGCCUUUCUCGCCUCCAAUCCCGCCGAGGCCAUGCCGUGACCUUCUUCUUUUUUUUUUCUUUUCGAUCUUUCUCCAUCGCCUCCCUAGCUCUUUACAACAAUAAAAAGGGCAACGUCACGUCAUUUUUCUCUCAUUUUUUCUCUCGUUCUUUGUUUUUUCUCUUCGACCCUACUCUAUCGCUUCUACGACGCUCCACGACAAUAAAAAGGGCAACGUCACGUCCUCUUUCUUUCAUUUUUUCUCUUGUUCUUUGUUUUUUCUCUUCGACCCUACUCUAUCGCUUCUACGACGCUCCACNCUUUCUCGCCUCCAAUCCCGCCGAGGCCAUGCCGUGACCUUCUUCUUUUUUUUUUCUUUUC
rnacentral:lncRNA from 1 species